rnacentral:lncRNA from 1 species
GGGGACCAACCUCCACUACUAUAAAUUAAAAAAAACACCCCACUUUAUUCUCAUUUAUAUAAAUCACACAAAAAACAAUAUCAAAAAAGAUAUUAGCACAACAAAUUAAGUUUUUACUUUUUAUAUAUUCAUUAUUCAGAGUCGUCCUACUCCCUUUAAUUUUCUUGCCAGCAAAUAACCACUUUACAACUACAACUCUUCCUUCCUUCCUUCCUCUAUUUCAUUUUCAUUCAUUCAACUUCAUAUUCUUCCACUUUCUCUCUCUCUCUCCCAAUUCAUUCAUUCAU